ACGAACGCUGGCGGCGUGCUUAACACAUGCAAUUCGAACGGAAAGGCCCCCUUGUGGGGUACUCGAGUGGCGAACGGGUGAGUAACACGUGAGUAACCUACCCUUGACUUUGGGAUAACUUCAGGAAACUGGGGCUAAUACCGGAUAGGAGCUCCUGCUGCAUGGUGGGGGUUGGAAAGUUUCGGCGGUUGGGGAUGGGCUCGCGGCUUAUCAGCUUGUUGGUGGGGUAGUGGCUCACCAAGGCUUUGACGGGUAGCCGGCCUGAGAGGGUGACCGGCCACAUUGGGACUGAGAUACGGCCCAGACUCCUACGGGAGGCAGCAGUGGGGAAUAUUGCACAAUGGGCGGAAGCCUGAUGCAGCAACGCCGCGUGCGGGAUGACGGCCUUCGGGUUGUAAACCGCUUUCGCCUGUGACGAAGCGUGAGUGACGGUAAUGGGUAAAGAAGCACCGGCUAACUACGUG
rnacentral:rRNA from 1 species